rnacentral:lncRNA from 1 species
CUGACAGAACCAGAGCUGUUAGAGCAGGGACGCGCGAAAGGCGGGAGUACGGGCGGCGCUGGAGAACCUCCGCGGCGGAGGGGCCUGGGGGUGGGACCGCGCCCGCGAGCCCGCCCUGACCGGGGUGUCUGUGUGCUUGUGAAGCGCUCCCUUGUUAGUUCCUUCUGUGAGACUCGGGGGAGACUGAACAGGGAAAUCACCUGCGGGGAAUGAACAGGAAAGCAAUAAGAAGAUUUGGAAAAGAGGCACUGGCUACUGGAGGAAGGGAGAAAUCACCGAGAGAGCGAAAGAUGUAACAGAAAAAAAAGGCCUUAUGAAGACAUUGCAAAAGGACAACUAUCUGCAAACCAGGAAGAGAGACCUCACCAGAAAUCAACCCUGCUGGUGGUACCUUGAUCUUAGACUUCCAGCCUCCAGAAGUAUGAGAAAAUAAAUAUCUGUAAUUUAA